GGGGCUGUAGCUCAGGUGGGAGAGCGCCACACUGGCAGUGUGGAGGUCAGCGGUUCGAAUCCGCUCAGCUCCACCA
rnacentral:tRNA from 1 species